rnacentral:rRNA from 1 species
CCUACGGGGUGCAGCAGUGGGGAAUAUUCGGCAAUGGAGGCAACUCUGACCCAGCAACGCCGCGUGAAUGAUGAAGGUCUUCGGAUUGUAAAGUUCUUUUCUAAGGGAAGAAGAUAGUGACGGUACCCUAGGAAUAAGUCUCGGCUAACUACGUGCCAGCAGCCGCGGUAAUACGUAGGAGGCAAGCGUUAUCCGGAAUGACUGGGCGUAAGGGGUGCGUAGGUGGUUUGUCAAGUUAGUAGCGCAACUCCGGGGCUCAACUUCGGAACUACAACUAAAACUGUAGGACUUGAGUGCAGGAGAGGCAAGCGGAAUUCCAAGUGUAGCGGUGAAAUGCGUAGAUAUAAGGAGGAACACCAGUGGCGAAGGCGGAUUGCUGGACUGUAACUGACGCUGAGGCACGAAAGCGUGGGGAGCAAACAGGAUUAGAUACCCCAGUAGUC